GUUUUUUCCAAAGUAGCUGACCAUGAAGUAGGGGGAGGAGCUGGCAGAAUGAAUCCAUAGGAGGAUUUUUGAAGCUGGAUUGUGCCUGUUGCACUAAUUUGAACCAGACAUUAUCCUGUGGGCCUCUAGAUAAAGCCUCAAAUAAAGUGAAGAAGGUACUUACAUCCUGCUGGCAAGAGUAUGAUCAUUGUAUCUGGAGCUUUUUUUAAUUUAUCCUAUUC
rnacentral:lncRNA from 12 species